rnacentral:rRNA from 1 species
AUUGAACGCUGGCGGCAUGCCUUACACAUGCAAGUCGAACGGCAGCACGGGUGCUUGCACCUGGUGGCGAGUGGCGAACGGGUGAGUAAUACAUCGGAACAUGUCCUGUAGUGGGGGAUAGCCCGGCGAAAGCCGGAUUAAUACCGCAUACGAUCUACGGAUGAAAGCGGGGGACCUUCGGGCCUCGCGCUAUAGGGUUGGCCGAUGGCUGAUUAGCUAGUUGGUGGGGUAAAGGCCUACCAAGGCGACGAUCAGUAGCUGGUCCGAGAGGACGACCAGCACCCCGGGGACGAGGACCCGCCCCCACACCCGGCGGGAGGCACGAGUGGGGAAUUUUGGACAAGGGGCAAAAGCCUAUACCAGAAAUGCCGCGGGUGUCAAAAACGCCUUCGGGUUGUAAAGCACUUUUGCCCGAAAAGAAACCCUUGCCCCUAAAAGGGCGGGGGGAUACCGGUCCCGGAGAAAAAGGCCCCGCCAACCUCCGU